AGAACGAACGCUGGCGGCGCGCCUAACACAUGCAAGUCGAACGAGAAUCCGGGGCAACCCGGUAGUAAAGUGGCAAACGGGUGAGGAAUACAUGGGUAACCUACCCUUGAGAAGGGAAUAACCCGCCGAAAGGUGAGCUAAUACCCUAUACGCUAUCUUUUUUCGAAAAGGAUAGGAAAGCCGGGUCGAGGACCUGGUACUCAAGGAGGGGCUCAUGUCCUAUCAGCUUGUUGGUGGGGUAACGGCCUACCAAGGCUACGACGGGUAGCUGGUCUGAGAGGAUGAUCAGCCACACUGGCACUGAGAUACGGGCCAGACUCCUACGGGAGGCAGCAGUGGGGAAUUUUGGACAAUGGGCGCAAGCCUGAUCCAGCCAUGCCGCGUGAGUGAAGAAGGCCUUCGGGUUGUAAAGCUCUUUCAGGUGGAAAGAAAUAGCGCUGUUUAAUAGAUGGCGUUGAUGACGGUACCACCAGAAGAAGCACCGGCUAACUACGUG
rnacentral:rRNA from 1 species